CCCGCUGAACUUAAGCAUAUCAAUAAGCGGAGGAAAAGAAACCAACAGGGAUUGCCUCAGUAACGGCGAGUGAAGCGGCAAGAGCUCAAAUUUGAAAUCUGUCACCUCUGGUGUCCGAAUUGUAAUUUGAAGAGGAGUCUUCAGCUGAGAUCAAGGCCCAUGUUCCUUGGAACAGGAUGUCAUAGAGGGUGAGAAUCCCGUACAUGGCUGGUGAUCUUUAGCUAUGUGAGGCUUCUUCGAAGAGUCGAGUUGUUUGGGAAUGCAGCUCUAAAUGGGUGGUAAAUUUCAUCUAAGGCUAAAUACUGGCGAGAGACUGAUAGCGCACAAGUAGAGUGAUCGAAAGAUGAAAAGCACUUUGAAAAGAGAGUUAAACAGUACGUGAAAUUGUUGAAAGGGAAGCGCUUGCAACCAGACUUGCUCCUGAUCGAUCAACGUUCCUUCUGGUUCGUGCACUCGGUCUUCUGCAGGCCAGCAUCAGUUAUCGCGGUGGGACAAAGGUCUCAGGAAUGUGGCUCUCUUCGGGGAGUGUUAUAGCCUGAGGUGCAAUACCACCAGCUGUGACUGAGGACCGCGCUUCUGCUUGGAUGCUGGCUUAAUGGUUGUAAGCGACCCGUCUUGAAACACGG
rnacentral:rRNA from 1 species